CGAGGUGGAGCAAAUCCCUAAAAGCCAUCCCAGUUCGGAUUGCAGGCUGCAACCCGCCUGUAUGAAGUUGGAAUCGCUAGUAAUCGCGGAUCAGCAUGCCGCGGUGAAUACGUUCCCGGGCCUUGUACACACCGCCCGUCACACCAUGAGAGUCGGGAACACCCGAAGUCCGUAGCCUAACCGCAAGGGGGGCGCGGCCGAAGGUGGGUUCGAUAAUUGGGGUGAAGUCGUAACAAGGUAUC
rnacentral:rRNA from 1 species